GUGCUAGUUGACAAGAAGGGAGUAGAGGAAGAGGCUUGGUGAGAGAAGGGUUCUCUGAAGCAAAGAAGGAAAAGAAGAGAUGGAAAGUUACCUUUAACUAAGGAAAGCACAAGGACUGGUAGUGAUCAGAAGACUGUGGAUUUACAACUAAAAGGAGAAUCUUGAACUAUGCACUGAGGACCUUCCAACCUUUGGGAAGUUACCAGGGAGACUUUACAAGCCAGCUGUCUAUUCCAUCACUGCUACAAACCUAAGACUAUAGAGAUUUCACAAUCAUUUGUUCUUACAUACCAGUCCACAUUUUGGGGUUGAUUCUGACUUAACAGGAGAUGAAGACAGAAUACUUGAAUCAUCAGUCAGUACAUUGAAAAA